GACGGAGGAUGCAAGUGUUAUCCGGAAUCACUGGGCGUAAAGCGUCUGUAGGUGGUUUAAAAAGUCUGCUGUUAAAGAUUGAAGCUUAACUUCAAGAAUGCCGUAGAAACUUUUAAACUUGAGGAUGGUAGGGGUAGAGGGAAUUUCCAGUGGAGCGGUGAAAUGCGUAGAUCUUGGAAAGACCACCAACGGCGAAGGCACUCUACUGGGCCAUGACUGACACUGAGAGACGAAAGCUAGGGGAGCAAAUGGG
rnacentral:rRNA from 1 species